rnacentral:rRNA from 1 species
UGGCAGUCAGAGGCGAUGAAGGACGUGCUAAUCUGCGAUAAGCGUCGGUAAGGUGAUAUGAACCGUUAUAACCGGCGAUUUCCGAAUGGGGAAACCCAGUGUGAUUCGUCACACUAUCAUUAACUGAAUCCAUAGGUUAAUGAGGCGAACCGGGGGAACUGAAACAUCUAAGUACCCCGAGGAAAAGAAAUCAACCGAGAUUCCCCCAGUAGCGGCGAGCGAACGGGGAGCAGCCCAGAGCCUGAAUCAGUGUGUGUGUUAGUGGAAGCGUCUGGAAAGGCGUGCGAUACAGGGUGACAGCCCCGUACACAAAAAUGCACAUACUGUGAGCUCGAUGAGUAGGGCGGGACACGUGGUAUCCUGUCUGAAUAUGGGGGGACCAUCCUCCAAGGCUAAAUACUCCUGACUGACCGAUAGUGAACCAGUACCGUGAGGGAAAGGCGAAAAGAACCCCGGCGAGGGGAGUGAAAAAGAACCUGAAACCGUGUACGUACAAGCAGUGGGAGCACGCUUAGGCGUGUGACUGCGUACCUUUUGUAUAAUGGGUCAGCGACUUAUAUUCUGUAGCAAGGUUAACCGAAUAGGGGAGCCGAAGGGAAACCGAGUCUUAACUGGGCGUUAAGUUGCAGGGUAUAGACCCGAAACCCGGUGAUCUAGCCAUGGGCAGGUUGAAGGUUGGGUAACACUAACUGGAGGACCGAACCGACUAAUGUUGAAAAAUUAGCGGAUGACUUGUGGCUGGGGGUGAAAGGCCAAUCAAACCGGGAGAUAGCUGGUUCUCCCCGAAAGCUAUUUAGGUAGCGCCUCGUGAAUUCAUCUCCGGGGGUAGAGCACUGUUUCGGCAAGGGGGUCAUCCCGACUUACCAACCCGAUGCAAACUGCGAAUACCGGAGAAUGUUAUCACGGGAGACACACGGCGGGUGCUAACGUCCGUCGUGAAGAGGGAAACAACCCAGACCGCCAGCUAAGGUCCCAAAGUCAUGGUUAAGUGGGAAACGAUGUGGGAAGGCCCAGACAGCCAGGAUGUUGGCUUAGAAGCAGCCAUCAUUUAAAGAAAGCGUAAUAGCUCACUGGUCGAGUCGGCCUGCGCGGAAGAUGUAACGGGGCUAAACCAUGCACCGAAGCUGCGGCAGCGACGCUUAUGCGUUGUUGGGUAGGGGAGCGUUCUGUAAGCCUGUGAAGGUGUGCUGUGAGGUAUGCUGGAGGUAUCAGAAGUGCGAAUGCUGACAUAAGUAACGAUAAAGCGGGUGAAAAGCCCGCUCGCCGGAAGACCAAGGGUUCCUGUCCAACGUUAAUCGGGGCAGGGUGAGUCGACCCCUAAGGCGAGGCCGAAAGGCGUAGUCGAUGGGAAACAGGUUAAUAUUCCUGUACUUGGUGUUACUGCGAAGGGGGGACGGAGAAGGCUAUGUUGGCCGGGCGACGGUUGUCCCGGUUUAAGCGUGUAGGCUGGUUUUCCAGGCAAAUCCGGAAAAUCAAGGCCGAGGCGUGAUGACGAGGCACUACGGUGCUGAAGCAACAAAUGCCCUGCUUCCAGGAAAAGCCUCUAAGCAUCAGGUAACAUCAAAUCGUACCCCAAACCGACACAGGUGGUCAGGUAGAGAAUACCAAGGCGCUUGAGAGAACUCGGGUGAAGGAACUAGGCAAAAUGGUGCCGUAACUUCGGGAGAAGGCACGCUGAUACGUAGGUGAAGCGACUUGCUCGUGGAGCUGAAAUCAGUCGAAGAUACCAGCUGGCUGCAACUGUUUAUUAAAAACACAGCACUGUGCAAACACGAAAGUGGACGUAUACGGUGUGACGCCUGCCCGGUGCCGGAAGGUUAAUUGAUGGGGUUAGCGCAAGCGAAGCUCUUGAUCGAAGCCCCGGUAAACGGCGGCCGUAACUAUAACGGUCCUAAGGUAGCGAAAUUCCUUGUCGGGUAAGUUCCGACCUGCACGAAUGGCGUAAUGAUGGCCAGGCUGUCUCCACCCGAGACUCAGUGAAAUUGAACUCGCUGUGAAGAUGCAGUGUACCCGCGGCAAGACGGAAAGACCCCGUGAACCUUUACUAUAGCUUGACACUGAACAUUGAGCCUUGAUGUGUAGGAUAGGUGGGAGGCUUUGAAGUGUGGACGCCAGUCUGCAUGGAGCCGACCUUGAAAUACCACCCUUUAAUGUUUGAUGUUCUAACGUGGACCCGUGAUCCGGGUUGCGGACAGUGUCUGGUGGGUAGUUUGACUGGGGCGGUCUCCUCCUAAAGAGUAACGGAGGAGCACGAAGGUUGGCUAAUCCUGGUCGGACAUCAGGAGGUUAGUGCAAUGGCAUAAGCCAGCUUGACUGCGAGCGUGACGGCGCGAGCAGGUGCGAAAGCAGGUCAUAGUGAUCCGGUGGUUCUGAAUGGAAGGGCCAUCGCUCAACGGAUAAAAGGUACUCCGGGGAUAACAGGCUGAUACCGCCCAAGAGUUCAUAUCGACGGCGGUGUUUGGCACCUCGAUGUCGGCUCAUCACAUCCUGGGGCUGAAGUAGGUCCCAAGGGUAUGGCUGUUCGCCAUUUAAAGUGGUACGCGAGCUGGGUUUAGAACGUCGUGAGACAGUUCGGUCCCUAUCUGCCGUGGGCGCUGGAGAACUGAGGGGGGCUGCUCCUA